GGGGCUAAACAUGCAGUCGAACGCCGUAGCAUACGGAGUGGCAGACGGGUGAGUAACACGUGGGAACGUGCCCUUUGGUUCGGAACAACACAGGGAAACUUGUGCUAAUACCGAAUAAGCCCUUACGGGGAAAGAUUUAUCGCCAAAGGAUCGGCCGCGUCUGAUUAGCUAGUUGGUGAGGUAACGGUCACCAAGGCUACGAUCAGUAGCUGGUCUGAGAGGAUGAUCAGCACACUGGGACUGAGACAACGGCCAGACUCCUACGGGAGGCAGCAGGUUAGGAAUUCUUUGGGACCAAUUGGGCCGCAAGGCCCCCCUUUUUUGGAUUCCAACCAUGGCCGCGUGAGUGGAUGGAAGGCCUUAGGGGUUGUAAAGCUCUUUCAGCGGGGAAAGAUAAUGACGGUACCCGCAGAAGAAGCCCCGGCUAACUUCGUGCCAGCAGCCGCGGUAAUACGAAGGGGGCUAGCGUUGCUCGGAAUCACUGGGCGGUUAAAGCGCCACGUAAGGCGGUUUUCUAAGUCAGGGGUGAAAUCC
rnacentral:rRNA from 1 species